AUCCUACGCCUGCGGAGCAAGUGGUUUGGUACGAGAGAAAAGUACUAAAAUCCAUGAUAAUCCACGUCACACCAGACAGACCAAGCCAGCUAAUGUUUGCAGCUGCCAUCCAGCUCUGCUGUUGCUUAAAGUUCUAGAUUCAGAAGGAGGCCCAGAGAGGCUGGAACUCACAGUGAACUCAUAAAGAAAGGGAGAUUAUGAUUGAGGCAAAGAAUUCCAUCUGUAGAGGAAAGAAAACAAGAGAAGCAGGGCCACGAUGGACGAGCGAAACCACACAGCCAUGAGAGAAAGAAGAGCUCUGGUCAACACACGUCCUUACCGUGUCUACGUAACUGGACGCUGAAUGCUAAGUGCGUCCCUGAGCGAUCGCAAGGCAAUGGAAGCCGCAGGACGGAGAGCAGGUACCAGCCUCUGCACCCACUUCUCAUUGCAAGGCAGCCGCCAUCCUGUCCUGGAGGCCCGAGCACGAACUCCGUGACAGCGCCAACUUAUUCCAAGAAAUCCUUCCGAUUUGUAACAGCACACCAUCAUCACCAUCAUUCCAGAAUAAAAACGACACUGCUCAUACGAAGGGAGAACACAGCCCACCUCUAACUAGAUUUAAUCAACCGCUGUAAAACCUGAGAGAAGAAGACAUGAACCUGAGGUCUUGUCAGUGAGUUGAAAAAAGCAAAUAAAUCAGGAACUUGUUAAUA